AGAAGAAAGAAUGGUUGCAACGUAAAUUUACCUCACGCAUAGGCCUAGCCAAAAAAAGAAACCGGACUUGUGAGGUAAAUUUACCUACGUCUCUUACUGCAAAAAUAAUAGGGAGAAACCCCACUCUAUGGAUCGUGGGACGGUGGGAGGUCUCUGCCACUUUCCAAACCGUCUCCGUCAGACGGACUGUUCACCGCCGCUACCCCCGACCUGCUCCGCGCCAGCCAUGGCGGUUCCUUUUCCUCGGAGGCCAGCGGAGCAUGUCACUGUAUCCCUGCGGCGGCGAACUAGCUGCGGUGGCUUUGCAGAAGGAGAAUAGGUAGUCAUGCCAGCGGGAUCCGGGCGGGAUCCAAUUCAGCGGAAGCGGCAGCGCCAAGUCUGACCUCGACCUCAACGCCAGGGCGGCGCUCGAUCGUGUCGACGCACUCCGCGAGCUCAGGACUGUGUUUCUCUCCUCUCCCACCCUCGUCUCCUUGGUUGAAAGGAUCCAGAGAUCUCGCCGGCCCCCGUUGAGUCAUCAUGAUGCAGCAGCUGCAAGGACCGCGAGAAAGCACAUGGUGCUGUAUUGCGGUAAUGCCGGGAUGCUCAUGUCACUUAUGAGAAUGAGCACAACCACAAGCACGUUCAGCUGCUCAACCUGUUGAUGAUCGCCGCGAAUUCAGAAGCCCAACUGAAGCUACCAGUUCCAUAAGAAGUUGAAGAACUCUAAAUUUUUAUGCCAUGGAUUGAACAUGUCAUUCAGCUGUUCUUUGGUUAUUUAGUCUGACAAAAAGCAAAAUUUCUAACAAAAGGGCAAAGAUUUCACCGCCAUAUUUUUCAUGAUGUAUAGUGAAUACUUGAUUGGGGUGCAAUGCAUUUACCUUUCAAAAUAUUCUAUCGAUAAAAUCGUUCCAUGUGAGAGCUUGUCGAAUUUACUUGUAGAAGUACCACUGGAAGUUUGUUCUAAUUUGUGUGUGCUUUUCAGCAGAUUGUAAUAGGCUUGUCAACAAGUAUCUUUGUUGAGUGUAUCCGAGAAAAAUUGUGUUUAUUUCUUGGUUU